rnacentral:rRNA from 1 species
UACGUAGGCAGCGAGCGUUGUUCGGAAUUACUGGGCGUAAAGAGUGUGUAGGCGGUGCUCCCAGUCUGUUGUGAAAUCUCCCGGCUUAACUGGGAGGGUGCAGCGGAAACUAGAGUGCUAGAGGGUGGGAGAGGUAAGCGGAAUUCCUGGUGUGCGGUGAAAUGCGUGAGAUAUCAGGAGGAACACCUGCGGUGUAGACGGCUUUCUGGACCAUUGCUGACGCUGAGACACGAAAGCGUGGGUAGCAAACAGG